rnacentral:tRNA from 1 species
GUAGUGGUGAUUCGGUGGUAGAAUUCUAGCUUUUCAUGCAAGAGACUCGAAUUCAAUUCUGGGCCAAUAUA